CCACAGCCUCGCGGAGAAGUCCCCGGACGCCGUGGCGCAGAGGUUCGCGUCCGCGUCGAGCUUGGCGGACCAAACCGCGCCCUUGUGACCCACGAAGCUGCCUAUCCAGUCCCCCGUGUCGCCCCUGCGGACCAUGGGGGUCUUGUCGUGGCAAGCCGAAGUCAAGAAUGUGCCGUCAG
rnacentral:RNase_MRP_RNA from 9 species